rnacentral:misc_RNA from 1 species
UAUUUUUUCUUCCUUUUCUUUCUAAAUUUUAUCUGCAAAUGGUGCUGGAAACAUGGUUGGAAUGAUUUAAAUUGCAAUUCUUAAUCUUUAAUUGUAUCCCAUAAUGAUACAUGUUCAAACAUUUCCUAAUUGGAGUGGCCAAGUGGCCGAAUAAAAGAUUGAAGUGCUAUCCAACUUGUUAUCUACAUUAUGAAAUCAAUACUUUUAUUUUGUUCAGAAGACGUGCCAAAAUAUAAAUUUGUAUUUGUCAAGUGUAAGUUAAUAAGUUUUGGGUUUUUAAUUUAAUUUUUCUUGUUUGUUUGUUAAUUCCCUCAUUUUUUUCUGUGAAAAUAACAUCUUAAUGCUAG